rnacentral:lncRNA from 1 species
CGAAACGCCAGCGUACAAGCUUAUGGUUAGUGUCUAUAUGCCACAAGUGGUUAGGCCCCAUUACGUUAUAAACUCGUCUGUGAAGUCUUCCUGAUUUCCUUGCUUGAGCUCCAGAUGAAUCUAAACGUUGAAUAGAGUCUCUAAGACGCCAUCUCUGUACUCGAAUGCCUUUGGCAAUUAACAUAUGUUUAAGCAUAUUUUCACC